rnacentral:misc_RNA from 1 species
UUGUGGAGGAGGGCGCCGAAGGUGGGGCUAAUGACUGGGGUGAAGUCGUAACAAGGUAGCCGUACCGGAAGGUGCGGCUGGAUCACCUCCUAACAGGGAGACAACAAAAUGUUUAAUAUUAUUAUUUUGUCACCUUAGGUCGAUCGGUAUCUCACGUUUUUAAUUUAUUAAGAAUUUCAUUUCCUAAGUUUUUCUAGGUCACACCCAUUAUUUUUCCUGGGCCAUUAGCUCAGGUGGUUAGAGCGCACCCCUGAUAAGGGUGAGGUCCCUGGUUCAAGUCCAGGAUGGCCCAUAUCUCUAUGUUGGGGGUAUAGCUCAGUUGGUAGAGCGCCUGCUUUGCAAGCAGGAUGUCAGCGGUUCGAGUCCGCUUACCUCCACUGAUCACCACCUCUUCCAUAAUCGGUAGAAAGGAAAUUUUUUGAGUUGUGAUCAAAUUCUGAAAGAAUCUAGCUUCCUAAUGAAAUCAUUAAGAUGCUGGACUCAUUGAAUUAAUUUCAUUGUUUUCAGAGAACCUUGACAACUGCAUAGAUUAUUUUUAAAGACAAUAAGCAUCUUUAAUGAUGCAGAUUUAUUAUUUGUGCAAAUGCAUUAAUAACAAUUCUAUUAAGCUGAUGCUUCAAUAUUUGAAGUUAUUGGUCAAGCUACAA